UGGAGGUAUGGGGAAUUGAACCCCAGACUUCUCGCAUGCGAAGCGAGCGCUCUACCCCUGAGCUAUACCCCCG
ensembl:ncRNA K06A4.13 ncRNA